rnacentral:rRNA from 1 species
GACGAACGCUGGCGGCGUGCUUAACACAUGCAAGUCGAACGAAGUGGCAAACGGGAGAGUAACGCGUAAUCAACCUGCCUUUCAGAGGGAGACAACAGUGGGAAACGACUGCUAAUACCGUAUACUGAAGGAGGGGAUUGCGUUUGAUUAGCUAGUUGGAGGGGUAACGGCCCACAAAGGCGAUGAUGAGUAGCCGGUCCGGGGGGAUGAACGGCCACAUUGGGACUGAGACACGGGCCAGACUCCUACGGGAGGCAGCAGUGGGGAAUCUUCCGCAAUGGACGAAAGUCUGACGGAGCCACGCCGGGUGAGUGAUGACGGCCUUCCGGUUGUAAAGCUCUGUUAAUCGGGACGCGGUACCGGAAUAGAAAGCCACGGCUAACUACGUGCCAGCAGCCGCGGUAAUAC